rnacentral:rRNA from 1 species
ACUACGGGAGGCUGCAGUGAGGAAUAUUGGUCAAUGGGCGGAAGCCUGAACCAGCCAAGUAGCGUGCAGGAUGACGGCCCUACGGGUUGUAAACUGCUUUUAUACGGGAAUAACGCGCCUUACGUGUAGGGAUUUGCAUGUAACGUAUGAAUAAGGACCGGCUAAUUCGGUGCCAGCAGCCGCGGAAAUAAGGAAGGUACGGGCGUUCACCGGUUUUAUGAGGUUUAAAGGGAGCGUAGGCCGCAUGUCAAGCGUGCUGUGAAAGGUCCGGGCUCAACCCGGGCCUGGCAGCGCGAACUGGCGUGCUUGAGUCCGCGGAAAGCAGGCGGAAUUCGUCGUGUAGCGGUGAAAUGCUUAGAUAUGACGAAGAACCCCGAUUGCGAAGGCAGCUUGCUGCAGCGGAACUGACGCUGAUGCUCGAAAGCGCGGGUAUCGAACAGGAUUAGAUACCCUGGUAGUC